AUUGAACGCUGGCGGAAUGCUUUACACAUGCAAGUCGAACGGCAGCACGGGGGCAGCCCUGGUGGCGAGUGGCGAACGGGUGAGUAAUACAUCGGAACGUGCCCGGUCGUGGGGGAUAACGUAGCGAAAGUUACGCUAAUACCGCAUACGAUCUGAGGAUGAAAGCGGGGGACCUUCGGGCCUCGCGCGAUCGGAGCGGCCGAUGUCAGAUUAGGUAGUUGGUGGGGUAAAGGCCUACCAGGCCGACGAUCUGUAGCUGGUCUGAGAGGACGACCAGCCACACUGGGACUGAGACACGGCCCAGACUCCUACGGGAGGCAGCAGUGGGGAAUUUUGGACAAUGGGCGCAAGCCUGAUCCAGCCAUUCCGCGUGCAGGACGAAGGCCUUCGGGUUGUAAACUGCUUUUGUACGGAACGAAAAGGCUCUGGCUAAUACCUGGGGCUCAUGACGGUACCGUAAGAAUAAGCACCGGCUAACUACGUG
rnacentral:rRNA from 1 species